rnacentral:rRNA from 1 species
UACGGGGGGAGCAAGCGUUGUUCGGAUUUACUGGGCGUAAAGGGCGCGUAGGCGGCCACCGCAAGUCGACUGUGAAAUCUCCGGGCUUAACCCGGAAAGGUCAGCCGAUACUGCGGGGCUAGAGUGCAGAAGGGGCAACUGGAAUUCUCGGUGUAGCGGUGAAAUGCGUAGAUAUCAGGAGGAACACCAGUGGCGAAGGCGGUUCUCUGGGCAUUACCUGACACUGAGGAGCGAAAGUGUGGGGAGCGAACAGG